rnacentral:rRNA from 1 species
UACGGAGGGUGCAAGCGUUAUCCGGAUUUACUGGGGUUAAAGGGUGCGUAGGUGGGUCUGUAAGUCAGUGGUGAAAUCUCCGAGCUUAACUCGGAAACUGCCAUUGAUACUAUAGAUCUUGAAUUAUCUGGAGGUAAGCGGAAUAUGUCAUGUAGCGGUGAAAUGCUUAGAUAUGACAUAGAACACCAAUUGCGAAGGCAGCUUACUACGGAUCGAUUGACACUGAGGCACGAAAGCGUGGGGAUCAAUCAGG